rnacentral:SRP_RNA from 1 species
AAGCUUGGCCUUCUUAUCGCCAGCGGCAGCUUUCGGAGAAGGUCGAGGUGCCCGGCCACGCCCGCCGCGUUUGCCAUGGCGGGCAAGCGGAAGCGCGGCGUGAUCAAAGAGGCCAAGGAGGCGC